UACGGAGGGUGCGAGCGUUAAUCGGAAUCACUGGGCGUAAAGCGCGCGUAAGCGGCUUUUCAAGUCAGGGGUGAAAUCCCACGGCCCAACCGUGGAACUGCCUUUGAAACUGUAGAGCUUGAGUGUCGGAGAGGGUGGCGGAAUUCCAGGUGUAGGAGUGAAAUCCGUAGAUAUCUGGAGGAACACCGGUGGCGAAGGCGGCCACCUGGACGACAACUGACGCUGAGGUGCGAAAGCGUGGGUAGCAAACAGG
rnacentral:rRNA from 1 species